rnacentral:rRNA from 1 species
UACGUAGGGGGCAAGCGUUGUCCGGAUUUAUUGGGCGUAAAGAGCGUGUAGGCGGUUUGGUAGGUCCGCUGUGAAAACUCGAGGCUCAACCUCGGGACGCCGGUGGAAACCAUCAGACUAGAGUCCGGAAGAGGAGAGUGGAAUUCCUGGUGUAGCGGUGAAAUGCGCAGAUAUCAGGAAGAACACCAGUGGCGAAGGCGGCGAUCUGGGAAGAUACUGACGCUGAGGUGCGAAAGCGUGGGGAGCAAACAGG